CACAUGCCCUCUUCAUUGUCAACUUGACCCCAUAUCUUGCAUUAGUAUGUUUAAUGCAGAUUUUUUUUGCUGUAUUUCAGACGAGUAUAAGAGGGGAGAACUCCCUGAGGAGGGUGUGCUGCAGUUUCUGUGAUGUACCUCGCUCCACUCCCUCUUCAUGCAGGCUGCUUGCUAUGUUUCGAUGCUGUCAUAUCCAAAAUAUACUUCUACAUAUGUGUGCUGUUCUGAAAAAUACACACUCUGCUGUGUAGCAAAACAUUCACACACAUGGACACCACGCACUGGCAGAUACACAAACAUCCAGGUGUGUGCCUGUGAUCGUUCCCUCAGGGGUUGCAAUGUUUGAGCUUCAUUCAUGCUCGCACACAGCUUGGCGUGUUAUAUUUAGCAGGGAAAAGUAAACACUGCUCUGGUUCAGAUAAAAAGUGUGAUUUAGCCACUUAGUGUGGAAAUCUGUUUGUAGCACAUCACAGGACUGUGCUUCUCUUUUGUAGAUAUUAUAUUUACGACACUGUGAAAAAGUCACUGUGUGUGUAUAUAAUGUUUGAAUAAAAAAACAACUUAUUGGACUCUAAAACCAUUGAUAUUGACAUGUCCAUUUUUAUUCUUGGUAAAUGUUUUUUUUUCUUUCUUUUCUCCAAAGAUAGGCCUCAUAUAAUGUACAGUAGAAGCCCAUUUAUGCCACAUAAGAAAAAGACUGAAAGGGGAAAAGGUUGAAAUUAUGACAUACUAAUUCAAAAUUAUUAGAUAAAAAUCUGAAAUUGUGAGACAAAAAGUCAUAUUUAUGAUAUAAAAAUGUAAUCAUGGCACUUUAUAUCCUAUUUAAUUAGUCAUAUAUAUAUAUAUAUAUAUUUUUUCACUUUAUUCCAAUUUCACCCUAUUUUUGUUCCCCCAAUAAAAAUAACUUUGUUUGAAAAGGUUUGUACAAAACCAUAAGACUUUAUUUGUC
rnacentral:lncRNA from 1 species